rnacentral:sRNA from 1 species
ACGCAUGCAUGUAUGUACGCAUGCAUGUAUGUAUGAAUGUAUGUACGCAUGCAUGUAUGUAUGAAUGCAUGCAUGUAUGUAUGCAUGCUUGCAUGAAUGUAUUAUGCAUGCAUGUAUGUAUAUAUACAUGCAUGCAUUAA